CCUAAUUUAGCCGCCUAAAUCUAUGACUCAUUUAAUAAUCAUGAGUCAUCUUAAGCAAUAUCUUUAAGUGAAUCUGUAUAAAGUUUACAAAGAAUACGCAUCUCCUUCUUCUACCAUCUCAAGUUUCUGAAAAAACAAAAACCAUAGAAUCUCAUCAUAUUAGGUUUGAAGAAAUUCAAUCUACACUUCUUGAAUAAUUUGAUUCUUGAGCAAGUGGAAGCUAAUUGGGAUUAUUUUUGAAAAUUAGAGAAUUCUGAGAUUGAAGAAAUCAAGUAAAACCUCAUCUCCAUCCUCUUUUGGUAAUAGUUCUUUUGGUAGAAGCUCUUUUUUUGGUUGGAUUAAUGAAGUAGAUCUUUGAUUUUGGGUGGAUUACAAAGUGUUGAGAAGAAUUUGCACAAAGAUCCAUUUUCAGGUUAGUUUUGUGGUGGAAAGGAUGCCUACAUGUAUUAUGUGUUUCGGACGAGGCGAGGACUUCUUUUGGAAAUACAUUUUAUAAAUUAGAUAUUUGUAUAAUUAAAUUGUAAUGAGUUUAUAAUGUUUUGUAAAUAAUCACUUAAUUAUGUAAAAAGUUUUAAAUACUCUGAUAUUGGUUUACUGCGGCUAUCCAGCUACAAGUUGGAUUCAACCCAGACUUUUAUAAGUCUUUCACUAUACUUUAUAGACAAUAUUAUUAUAUUAUUUACGUUGGUCCGGGCUGUUUCAGCAUGUUUAUCUAUGAAAAACGAAAUGAGAGGAUUGAUCAAAACGAAAUGAGAGGAUUGAUCAUAUGAGGGACUCAACCUUUUCGGUCUAAACUUUCUUUAAAUUAAACAUUUAUUGCAUGUGGAGGGGUUCGACGUUUGUGGUCGCGAAUGUAAUAAUACAACCAUCAAUACUAGUAGUAUGUAACCUUAAGUAUUUGAGUACAAUUUAGAU